rnacentral:rRNA from 1 species
GACGGGGGGGGCAAGUGUUCUUCGGAAUGACUGGGCGUAAAGGGCACGUAGGCGGUGAAUCGGGUUGAAAGUGAAAGUCGCCAAAAAGUGGCGGAAUGCUCUCGAAACCAAUUCACUUGAGUGAGACAGAGGAGAGUGGAAUUUCGUGUGUAGGGGUGAAAUCGUAGAUCUACGAAGGAACGCCAAAAGCGAAGGCAGCUCUCUGGGUCCCUACCGACGCUGGGGUGCGAAAGCAUGGG